rnacentral:rRNA from 1 species
GAACGCUGGCGGCGUGCCUAAUACAUGCAAGUCGAACGCACAGCGAAAGGUGCUUGCACCUUUCAAGUGAGUGGCGAACGGGUGAGUAACACGUGGACAACCUGCCUCAAGGCUGGGGAUAACAUUUGGAAACAGAUGCUAAUACCGAAUAAAACUUAGUGUCGCAUGACACAAAGUUAAAAGGCGCUUCGGCGUCACCUAGAGAUGGAUCCGCGGUGCAUUAGUUAGUUGGUGGGGUAAAGGCCUACCAAGACAAUGAUGCAUAGCCGAGUUGAGAGACUGAUCGGCCACAUUGGGACUGAGACACGGCCCAAACUCCUACGGGAGGCUGCAGUAGGGAAUCUUCCACAAUGGGCGAAAGCCUGAUGGAGCAACGCCGCGUGUGUGAUGAAGGCUUUCGGGUCGUAAAGCACUGUUGUAUGGGAAGAACAGCUAGAAUAGGAAAUGAUUUUAGUUUGACGGUACCAUACCAGAAAGGGACGGCUAAAUACGUG